GAUGAACGCUGGCGGCGUGCUUAACACAUGCAAGUCGAACGAGAAUCAACGGAUUGAGGAUUCGUCCAAAUGAAGUUGAGGAAAGUGGCGGACGGGUGAGUAACGCGUGAGGAACCUGCCUCGGAGUGGGGAAUAACAGUUGGAAACGACUGCUAAUACCGCAUAAGCCCACAGCUCGGCAUCGAGCAGAGGGAAAAGGAGUGAUCCGCUUUGAGAUGGCCUCGCGUCCGAUUAGCUGGUUGGUGAGGUAACGGCCCACCAAGGCGACGAUCGGUAGCCGGACUGAGAGGUUGAACGGCCACAUUGGGACUGAGACACGGCCCAG
rnacentral:rRNA from 1 species